UACGUAGGGGGCAAGCGUUGUCCGGAAUUAUUGGGCGUAAAGAGCGUGUAGGCGGUCCGGUAAGUCGGCUGUGAAAGUCCAGGGCUCAACCCUGGGAUGCCGGUCGAUACUGCCGGACUAGAGUUCGGAAGAGGCGAGUGGAAUACCCGGUGUAGCGGUGAAAUGCGCAGAUAUCGGGAGGAACACCUAUGGCGAAGGCAGCUCGCUGGGACGUUACUGACGCUGAGAACGCGAAAGCGUGGGGGAGCAAACAGG
rnacentral:rRNA from 1 species